AUGCUGUUUGCCAACAGUACCUGUAAAUCUCUAGUUUUCUGUAGAUACUUGUGCUUCCUAUUUGUAGUAGUAAGUUUCUACCUCUUUGUCCACAUUAGUAUGCCCAGGAAAGAGCGGCGGUCAGGUGUGGCAUACAUCCAUAAUGACAAAGACCGUGAUCUCACCUUCUACAAGCGACGUUCCGGUUUGUUCAAGAGGGCGACUGACAUCUCUGCCCUCACUAGGGCUAGGGUUGCAGUCGUCCUAGAGACAAAUAAUGGAAAGAUGCACUCAUUUGGGACGCCAUUGGCCGAUCCCAUUGUUGAUGCUUUCCUAUUUGGAGCUCCACCAGCAGUUCCCUCCGCCAAUGAGGCAACCACUACUAGGAUUGGAAGCCUACAAAACGAGGUGGCUCAGUUGGACAUGGAGAACAUGACUGAGGAAGACCGAAACCAACUUUCCAUCCUUCGUAUGAAAAGUAUCCAAGAAGAGAAUCCAAGUAUGGUGGCAAAUCUUAUCUUCACGAAGGAACAAGAUCUCGGUCUUGAAGAUCUAAAUAACCUCUUAAGUGAGCUCUCUCGGGUCCAAAAAGACAUUAGAUGCCGGCUACCUCCAUUGCAUGGUCGUGAAGCCAAGACCAGUGCCACAUGUGUGGCACAAGAUCUGCAACUACCAAGUGUUCUGCCGACGGAUCAUUUGGGUACUACUCAUUCACUAAUGCAGUCAUCGUGGCCUCACAAUCUGUCACAACUCCAGCCACCUGCAGAUCCACUACCAUCACAACCAGAACAAACUUCGGCACCACUUUUUCCUAUGCAGGUACCACAAAUGUUUGAUUUUGCACCACCAUCUUUAGCUCCACACUUGGCUUCCCAUGUCCAACCCAUACCAAAUCAGGUACAUGAGCAAACUCAACCAGAGGAGUUGGAUGUUCAGAACUAUGAAAGUCCUUGCAACAUAGUGCAACCAGAACAAAGUGAUGCAACCCACGACUCAACAUCGGGGCAAAAUUUGGAGGCCUCUCCACUAUUGGGGUACUCGAGUGGCAAUGCUUUUUCUAUUGAUGACCCAUUUAACAGUGAACAAUGGGAUUAUGCUCUAUCAGAUCAGUCGUUCUACAAUAGUUUCCUAGGGAUUGAUGAUUACUUAGGCUCUAGCGGUACCGAUCUAGGACAGUCUUCCAUGGUAAAUGGUGGAUGGUUUGAUGUGCCGCCCUCUUCCACUGGACAAGCUAUUGAUGGUCUUAUAGACCCUGGAGAGCUUUCGUAG
rnacentral:rRNA from 1 species